rnacentral:sRNA from 1 species
GCAGGGUGAAGUGGUGCACACCUGUAAUCCCAGUAGCUCGGGAGGCUGAGGCAGGAGGAUCAUGAGUUCAAAGCCAGCCUCAGAAAUGGUGAGGUGCUAAACAAAUCACUGAGACCCUGUUUCUA